rnacentral:rRNA from 1 species
AUUGAACGCUGGCGGCAUGCCUAACACAUGCAAGUCGAACGAGUGGCGGACGGGUGAGUAAUGUGUGGGAAACUGCCUGAUCGGAGGGGAUCACUACUGGAAACGGUAGCUAAUACCGCAUACCAUAGGAUUAGCCCAGAUGGGAUUAGCUAGUAGGUGGGGUAACGGCUCACCUAGGCGACGAUCCCUCGCUGGUCUGAGAGGAUGACCAGCAACUCGGGAACGGAGAAACGGCCCAGACCCUUACGGGAGGCACCAGUGGGGAACAUUGGACAUGGGGGGAAAGCCUGAGCCAGCACGGCCGGGUGUGUGAAGAAGGUUUUCGGUUGUUAAAGCACUUUAAGUGGGGAGACGUUACCAACAGAAUAAGCACCGGCUAACUUCGUGCCAGCAGCCGCGGUAAUUC